rnacentral:sRNA from 1 species
UACUUGCCUUUGCGUGAGGGAUUGCAGCAUUUGUUUGAGCUCUUUUGUUUUUACAAAAAGCGAGUGCGGAAAGCCCGACUUUGU